UUAGCAGCCCAGAGGUUGCAAGUUUGAGGCACUCAUGGUGUGGCCCUGUCAGAUUCCAGUGAAUCUGUGAAUUCUGCU
rnacentral:ribozyme from 1 species